GCCUCUAUAGCUCAGCUGGGAGAGCGUGGCACUGAAGUUGCCAAGGUCACUGGUUCGAUCCCGGUUGGAGGCA
rfam:Ectocarpus siliculosus strain Ec 32, whole genome shotgun sequence assembly, unassigned sequences LGTn